rnacentral:misc_RNA from 1 species
AACUCUCAACAACGGAUAUCUUGGCUCCCGUAUCGAUGAAGAACGCAGCGAAAUGCGAUACGUAGUGUGAAUUGCAGAAUUCCGUGAACCAUCGAAUCUUUGAACGCAAAUUGCGCCUGAGGCUUCGGCCAAAGGCAUGUCUGCCUCAGCGUCGGCUUACACCCUCGCCCUCCCCUCAUGGGGGUUGGGCGGACUUGGCCUUCCCGGCAAAGGCCCUCCUUGGAGGCCCCCGGGUCGGCCGAAGCAAAGAGGCUUGAACAUGGACCCCGUUGUAGGGCGAUGGCUUGGUAGGUAGGCAAACUCCUACGCAACCUGCCGUCGUCUGAGGGGACUUUGUUGGAGGCCCAGCAGGAAUCCGGGGCCGGCUUUGCCGCCCGGACUUUCAACUUUUCGACCUGAGCUCAGGCAAGAUUACCCGCUGAACUUAAGCAUAUCACUAAGCGGAGGAAAAGAAACUAACCAGGAUGCCCUUAGUAACGGCGAGCGAAACGGGCAAAGCCCAACUUGAAAAUCUCCAGCCUUCGGCUGGCGAAUUGUAGUCUAGAGAAGUGCUCUCUGGCCUAGCCUUGUCCCAAGUCCCCUGGAAAGGGGCGUCAGAGAGGGUGAGAACCCCGUUGGGGCUUGAGUCUAGGUCUCCACGAGACGCUUUCAAAGAGUCGGGUUGUUUGGGAAUGCAGCCCAAAGCAGGUGGUAAAUCCCAUCUAAGGCUAAAUACAGACGGGAGACCGAUAGCGAACAAGUACCGCGAGGGAAAGAUGAAAAGAACUUUGAAAAGAGAGUUAAAAAGUACUUGAAAUUGUUGAGAGGGAAGCGAUUGGAUCCUACGGGUGCGCCCAGGCACACGCCUGCCUAACGGUUGGCUGAAUGCGCUGGGCGCUGGUCAGCAUGGGUUGGCUUGGCGGGAUAAAACCGAGGGUUGUUACCUCGGCUAUGUCGCCUUGCCGACCGAGGAAAGAAGGUCGCUUUCUGAGUCCUUCGGGAACUGCGACCUCAAGAUGCUGGCGGAAAGGUUCCAAUCGACCCGUCUUGAAACACGGACCAAGGAGUCUAACAUGCAUGCAAGUUGGUGGGUGGAAAACCCACGAAGCGCAAGUAACCUGACUGGUGGGAUGGCCUGUGCCUGCACCAUCGACCCCGCUUGAGGUUUUCCGAAGGCUGGGAGUACGAGCAUACCUGUUGGGACCCGAAAGAUGGUGAACUAUGCCUGAGCAGGGUGAAGCCAGAGGAAACUCUGGUGGAGGCUCGUAGAUGUGCUGACGUGCAAAUCGCUUUUCGGACUUGGGUAUAGGGGCGAAAGACUAAUCGAACCAUCUAGUAGCUGGUUCCCUC